rnacentral:rRNA from 1 species
AACGAACGCUGGCGGCAUGCCUAACACAUGCCAGUCGAACGAGACCUUCGGGUCUAGUGGCGCACGGGUGCGUAACGCGUGGGAACCUGCCCUUAGGUUCGGAAUAACUCCCCGAAAGGGGUGCUAAUACCGGAUAAUGUCUUCGGACCAAAGAUUUAUCGCCUUUGGAUGGGCCCGCGUUGGAUUAGCUAGUUGGUAGGGUAAAAGCCUACCAAGGCGACGAUCCAUAGCUGGUCUGAGAGGAUGAUCAGCCACACUGGGACUGAGACACGGCCCAGACCCCUACGGGGGGCAGCAGGGGGGAAUUUUGGAAAAGGGGCGAAAGCCUGAUCCAGCAAUGCCGGGGGAGGGAUGAAGGCCUUAGGGUUUUAAAGCUCUUUUCCCCGGGAUGAUAAUGACAGUCCCGGGAGAAUAAGCCCCGGCUAACCCCGU